GGUGAGCAUAGUGUCUUUACUUGGAGAUCUUCUUUGGAGUGUUUGGCAAGCUCUGAUUCUUAGAAGGUGAGAACUGUCACAGUGGCACCUUAAAGGGAUGAAUGUCUUCUGCUGUGCUCCUCCUAGGAUGACCUGACCUGGAUUUCUGCAGUGCUGGGCAGCCACCUGGCAGAAGAAUGGGACCUCGCUGCUUGGACAGGGGAUGCUUGCAAGCACACUCCUCUCAAAUAAAAAGUUAUGAAGAGUUUGGAGCUGUUGGUUGGAUGCAGUCAGGUGAAAUGCAAAAACUGCUGUCCCCUCAAGCAGCUGGGCCAUGGAGCCAGCAGAGGCUCCAGGAUGGGGAUAAAAACCAUCGAUUUCAUGCAUCUGGGCUGCAGCUCAAUGUCCUGUCAGAGCUCACCGAGGGCUGCUGGCGCAGCCACGGUGGGAAAUUACAGCUGUGGGCUGAGUAAUGUCUGCGAUCUGACCGUGUCAGGGGGCCUGGCAUGACAAAUGGAGGAGCUGAUCCUUCCUGUUCGAUAGCUGGUGUGCUCACAUUGCUGUGUGCUGAUAGCUGCUGCCAAGGGGCUGUGCUGCUGCCUGCAGCAAGGAGCUGGGGACGGAGGUUAGCACAAACCCAAACUCUUCCAUGGGAUUAGGCUCCAGUACUGCAUCCCCAAUUCCGCACCCCCACAGCAUCCCUGGCUUCCACCUGGGCUCUGCUGGGAGGUUAGAGGGCUGAAGCCAAGCAGGAGGCCUUUGGCUCAUGCUGUGAGCAUCUCGGUGCUUUUUGGAAGCUGUCUGUCUGUUGGUAGCACAGGAGUGGCUGGGUGCCAGGGUUGCUUCCUGGCAGGGGCUGGAAUGGGGCAGUGUUGGGUGGCGGGGAGGGAUGGAGUGCUACAGAGACUCAUGGUGAAAUUGUUGAUGGAUUCAAUUCAAUCUCUGCUCUUGAUAUCAUCUGCAAAUAUCUAAAUCUAGAUGUAUGUAUGUAUAGUCCUUAUAGUCCAAAGUAGAUUGCUGCAUGUGCUUCCUCUUCUGCAGCUCCAAAGCAGCCAGAGCUGGCUGGAAUAGUGGUACUGACCAUUUGCUACAAUUGAAACUGAGAUCACAAAGAGACCUGCUUUGCUGCCCUGUCCUUCUUUAACUGAAGCAAUGCUGAUUUGUGACCAGCACUGCAGAGGUGAGCCUGUCAGCCUGUGGUGGCAAUGGCAAGGCCUUAGCCAUUGCCAUAAUUGGCAGUAAAUACAUACUUACACUUAAUUCUUAGCAUGCUGUGUGUCUUCUGCAUCCACACGUAAAGGAAAAUAGGACCUUUCCUACGCCAUUCGCGUCCACCUCCAUCUCUGAUUAAAACUGCCUUAUGGCCUCUCUUUGCACCGUGGUUACUCGAGCAUUUAUCAUUCCUGCUUUCUAUGUGAGGCCAGUUGUGUACGCAGCCCUGGACCCCCGUACGAAGCAGUGCUUACAGCAGAACCCCGGCAAGCUCUGGCUGACAGCAGCGUGAUGUGAUUUCGGUGCCUGCUGAGCAGUUACUUCUGCCAACUCCUUGAAGUGCUCCUGCUCUCCUAAAUGCCCUCCUCCUGCAACAGUGGGAGAAGGCUCGGUCUGUCCGUCGGUCCGCCUGCCCCGCGCAGCACGGCGGUUCUCGGCACCAGAUGGCGCUCGCUGCCUUCCGAUGAGCCGAACGCGCUCAACUUUC